CCUACGGGUGGCAGCAGUGGGGGAUAUUGCACAAUGGGGGAAACCCUGAUGCAGCGACGCCGCGUGGGCGAAGAAGUAUUUCGGUAUGUAAAGCCCUAUCAGCAGGGAAGAAGAAAUGACGGUACCUGAGUAAGAAGCACCGGCUAAAUACGUGCCAGCAGCCCCGGUAAUACGUAGGGUGCAAGCGUUAUCCGGAUUUACUGGGUGUAAAGGUAGCGCAGGCGGCACGGCAAGCCUGAGGUGAAAGCCCGCGCUCAACGUGGGAACUGCCUUGGAAACUGGCAAACUGGAGUGUGUGAGAGGAUAGUGGAAGUCCAGGUGUAGGAGUGAAAUGCGUAGAUAUCUGGAGGAACAUCAGUGGCGAAGGCGACUAUCUGGCACAUAACUGACGCUGAGGAGCGAAAGCGUGGGUAGCAAACAGGAUUAGAUACCCUUGUAGUC
rnacentral:rRNA from 1 species